UCUUGUCCUACAUCGAAAAAUGAAGUCCAAAACCCAGCUAUCCUUCCGUUUUUAAUGACGCCAGAGCUUUCGAACACAACUGGUCACCCACGCGCUCGGUUGUUCCCCCGGCAACGUGUGUACAUAAGUAGGAAAAUUAAAUAUAUAGGCAUACAUAGCCCAGCUCGCGAGCUAACUCGAGCUAAGCAUCUUAAGGCUUGAGUUUUGGCUCGUUUAUUUAACAGGUCAAAAAUUAGGGCUCGAGCUCGUUUGUUUUUUAAGCAAACCGAGUUUGAAUGAGCUUACCGAGCCGAGUCACGCGUCGCUCGCGAGUGGCUUGACGCAUUUGUAGCCCUACUUAUGGCAAUAAGCUUGUAUAUAGUAGGUGGCAACAUUUCAGUUCCCAACCUAAAUACUUGUGGCGGCAAACAACGCAUUCUGUGCGGCUGUUCAACCACGUUUUGAUGCAAUCACCAUAGAAUAUAUGCCUACAUGUGGGGAGGACUCUUACAUUCUCCCUGUGCAUGAAUUGCCUCAAGCAUAUUUUGCACUCAGAUCCCCCGAAUCCAAGUGGUCUGUCAAUCAUAAAAGGAAGUAGUGGGAACAAAUUGAUCACGUCCGGAUCGAGCUCCACUACUGCGGCAAGCCCUGCUUCAGCUGGUUCUACUUCUGGCUCGGGGCCAUCCUCUUCUUGAGGAUUGUCAUUUGCCCACAUCCUCCAACACAAACAUCCUAGAAUGACCAAAAUGCUCAUGAUCGGAGCUACUAUGACAAGAGUGAGAAUUCUUGGGCUUCUAAAAUUGGGUAGCUUGAUGUCACUCGUUCUUUACGACUUUAUUUUAAAAAAUCCACACACGUUUGUGUUACAAGACCACUAAUUUAUGAUUCAAAUUAAUAAUAGCUAACAAAUGUUGUAUUACUCAUAAUAUGGCUGUUUGUUGGACGGAUAAAGUUUUAGGUGGAUAAAAAUGAAGGGUGGAUAAGAGUGGAUAUGUAAUAAAGGGAGAUUACACAAGAAGGGGUGAUAGCUAAGAAGGAUUUGUUUCGUUUUCUUAGAGAGAGGGGAUUAGCUUAAAUAUAAUUAGUAUAUAACAAUAUAACAUGAAUUGGAUUCAAAACGUGGGAUCAGAUAUCUGAUCCUCGGAUUCGUAUUGAAAUUACCGAAUUACCAGCAACAAUGAUUCAAUGGAUACUUUUUUCUUCCUCUGUAUAUCAUUCAUUCACCACUUUUACCUGCUUAUUUUCUCUUCCUUUAUCGUUAUAUCGAGAUAUACUUUCGCACCAAAUCAAUUUUUUCAGUUGGCAUUUUUGGGAAGAAUCAAGGACUCAAGGAUAUGCUAUAUGAAAGGUGUUACUCAGUUUGGGUAGUGGUGUCUAUCCGUAAUGAAGCAUAAGUUAGCUUUUAGUACUUCUACAUUUUUUUUCCUAAUUAUAUCUAGCACAUGAAACGAAUUAUAUCAUGCUUUUCUAAGGUGAUGAUUUCAUUUAAAAGUUAGAUAAACUCUUUUUUUUUUAUCCUAAUCACCAUCUGUAGAUUUUGUCUAUUAAUUCUACUAAUCCAAUCACAAAGACAAAACAUGUUUGCGUAGUUAAUAGCUGAGUUUGAUAUGCUAAUCUCUUUUUUUGGUAUUAUUCUUGUCAAUGUUCACUUAUAUAUGUGCAGCAAUGACAAUUUAGUUAGAAUGCCAUGUCAAUGCGAACAAUGGAGAUUGACAUUUGAACGAAGCAAUUGACCUACUACAAGGUAAAUGAGAAGGUAAGUUCAAUUAGUGAUUUGGCAUUUAAUGAAAAUAAUUGCCGCUUGACGUUGACAUAUGCUCAUAGCGGGCAUGUCAAGCAAAACUAAAAAUAAAGUUUUUCAUUUUUCCAGUGCUCAGGUUCGGUCUGUUCUUCAAUUUCCUUUUUAAUUGGCAGUUGCUUAGUUAGUGUUUUGGAUAGCAUCAGUAUUGGGUUAGGUUUUCUUAUGAAUUUAAUUAUUUUGUUCAUAUUUCUAUCUUUAUUAUGAGAGUAAAAUUGAAUUUUCUACCCAUGUGUGAUUAUUAGAGAUGCAUGCAAGGAUGAGUCAUAUUUUGUCUCACAAUUCAACUCUUGUUGUUUUGAUUUGCUUUGAUCCGACAUUUUAUAUCAUGUAUCAACAUCACGAUGCGUGUGUUUGCUCCCUUUUUUUUUCCGUCAAUGUACACUUAUUGAGUUUAAUUAAUAUAGGUUUGCUAAUAAAAAAUAAGAAAAAGGAGCAGUCAGAUUUUUUUAGAGAAUCAAGGAGUGAAUUAAUGAUUCUCACAAAUGAGAGGAAAAAAUGAUAGAGGGCAAGACCUUUGGUGAGAGAGAGUGUGUGUGUACAAAUUGGAAAGGAGGUUAUAUGUAUGUGUAUUUUCUAUUUUUCUGCGUUGGACAGUGGUAACUUCUUCAAAACAAGUGCCACUAUAUGAAGACAAAGAAAUGGAGAGACUACUAAGGAUUCCAAGAUUUAGAUAAGUGAUGACAAUGUCUCUCAUCGAGUUCAUAUUUAACUGUGUUACCCUUGUUACAAUAGAAUUGGAGAGUUUAGGGGUUGUGAUUGUUUAAUUGAAGUUAAUGAUCGUAUCCUUACAAUGUUCUUUACUUUGAAUAAAACCAAAGUACUAUAACGUAUCAUGUAUAGGCUUAUUUUACCCAUAUCAUGGAAAUUGUUUUUCUCUUGCCUUUUUUUUUUUUUUAUUCAUUCCAUACUGCUUUUUUAACGUAGCGAUGGUAUUUUUGGUAUUUUGUGAUUUUCUUUACGAGGGAUAUAUAGGAAUAAAAUAAACUCAUUGGUACUUAAUUUAUCCAGUAUUUAUUCACACUAAAGAUACUCAAGCCUAACUAAGGGCAUAAGUAUCACCUCCAACCGCCCUAUAUGGAGCUCAAGCCUACACAGGGCCGGCUCUGGGCAUAGUUCCUAUAGGCGACCACCUUGGGCCUCCAAUUUUCGCCCAAUAAUUGGGCCCCUAAAUAGAAAUUAUAGUAAAUAUUAUUUAUGUUAGAUAUUUCAUAAAUAGUCAACUCCGUGAGGUCACUUGUUCGAUACUUGUUACCUUCAAUUUUACGCGAAUUGAACUUGUACAAAAAUAGAUUCAAAUUGAAGUCGUUAGGACUUGAACUCAAGACCUUCAAGCACAGAAGUGAGAUUCAGAGCAAUGUGCCACCGAAGCACAACGCAAGCUUGAACCUUAUGUCAAAAAAUUAACAUAUAUAGACAAAAAUAAAAGGCCCCAUUCAAACCCCGCCCUAGGCCCCGAAAAUCUCAGGGCCGGGCCUGAACCUACAACCUUUGCAUAGAAAAGUUGGAGUAAUUAAUGUCUUUUCGGUAGUUACGAAGGCAAUCGCCAACUAUAUUCAAUAGUAUUAUUAUCUUUUUUGACAAUGGUGUAGUUGUGGAAUCCAUCGACUUGGUGACGUCUGACUGAAGACAUUAAACUUAGCUCUUCUUGGGAGGAAACCCAAUUUUUGCGCAUCAUUAAAAGAAAUAGUGGAUAAUGCUACUCCGGAUUACAUUUCAAUGUGAUGUCUUGGAAUCUGACUUUAAAUGACCAUAGGUUUUUAUAUUUCUAAGUGUGUAGAUUUUAGCUUGUAUUAGUGUGAUUUUGAGUCGUUUGUAGUCUAGGUUUGUGGAACUUUUGAAACCGGAUUUGGUUUAGUUUGCAUUUCGCUGAGGGUUUAAAGGUCUUUGGGAAGGUUGUAAGUUGAUCUUGGGGUAUAAUGAGUGUUGCAGAUCUUGAGUUUAAUGGUUGUGAGUUUCAAAUCCAUCUGGUUGCAUGCCAAAAUGUGUCUGGACACAUCACCAUUCAGCUCUCGGCGAAUUUUCUUGGGCCAUCCGUCCAAGCAAUCCGUUCAUUGUCGCGUGAAAUCCUUCUAGACGGAUUAACAUUCAGCUCUCGCAAUUUUUUUUCAAGCCAUCCGUCCAACCAAUGUGUCCAAUAGCACAUGAGAUCUGUCUGGACACAUUGAGCAUCAGUUCUGGGCAAAAAUUCAGAGGCCAUGUGUCCAGUCAGUCCGUCCAGACACAUUCCAUGUUUCUAUGGACGGAUUCAUAGAGCAGUUUCAGCUGGAAUAAAAUAAAACAAUGGGGACCAAGUUAUUUUCUAUUCUCAGUCAUUCUCAAACCCUCAUUUUCUCUCUCUACCCACACUCUCUCUGUCUAAACCUCCAUAGCCUCCAUCAAACCCUAACCCAAUUUCUAUCAAUCUUUCGUCCGAGCGUAUCAAAAUCAUCAUCCGUAUCCAUGUCAAUCUUUUAGUUUUCAUUUUCAUAUGGAUCAUUAUACCUUUGUCUAUAUUUGCAUUUUGUUUGUUGUUUGAUACUAACCUUUGCAGGUUUUUCUUUCCACUUCCAUGGAGCGGUGAGCUCCUAUUUGCAUAUGCUUGUGGAAAGUCAGUCCUCCAAGGAGCUAUCCUUCCUUCCCUCUUUACUUUACUUUGUCCUAUCACUACUUUUUGCGGUCCAAUGAGCAUUGUCCAAUUCAAGUUGGGGGGAGGGGUUUCAUAUUUGGAAUUUAGUAGUUUUUCUUGUUUCUUUAUACAAAAAUGAAAAAAAAAAUUGAAAUAUGGAAAACCAAAUAAAUUGAAAACUUCAAAAACACCCAAAACAUUAAAAAUUUUGAAAAAAAAAUAUGUUUGAUUCCUUUGCUAUAUUCAUUGAAAGUUGGCAUGUUGCAUUGAUUCGGCGAGUAUUUGCACAUGAGUUGUUACAUGCACUUCUUUGAUAUGAUGUUAGCAUCCUAGUUCACUAUGCUAGCUCUUGUUAAAGUAGUUCAUGGCAUCUAUACUCGGCACUUUGCACUUCAUGCUAGCUAACAUGUCCAUGAUCUUGAUUGAGGAAUAGGUGGUUGACUUGGAAAUCUUGAAGGACAAUUGUGGAGACUUUAACCCUUUGUGAGCUUUAGAGCCAUUCUUUUCUUGGAGAGUAUUUUUACAUUUACUCUUGCAUGACUUUCUUGGAAGCCCACAUUGGUUGUUGUUAAGUCUCAUUAUUCGUUUGUUGUUUGGUUGAAUGCCGGGAAUGCUUCAUUUUAUGCCACAUAGCACAUUCUUUUUUUGAACUUUUGCACACUCGAAGGGCUAUGCCAUGUCUAGGAAAGGAUUUUAGGCCAUUAUUGUUAUUUGAGCUUGUUUGUUUCUUUGCUCUACACACUUCUCCCUAGUUAACCAUUUUGAGCCUUCAAAGUGACAUACCAUUUUUUGCUAAACUCCAUGGCCAAAUAUGUCUUGAGAAUAUAGGAUUGGACUUGAUUGAUUGAAAGACUAAACUGAAAAGGAGAGAAAAGGGAGGUUUGAUUGAGCCUUUGUACUUCCUGUUCGUGUUCCCCUUUGGAAAGGAAAAUAUGAGAUCAAAAUGAAAAAAUGCAAAUGAAAAAGGGAAUCAAAUGUUUGCUGCUUGAAGUUUGUGAAGGAGAUUGAAUAUGAAAUGAGUUGAAGAGUAGUGUUGUUGAAGUUAGGGGGAAGAAUUGAAAGGAUUGGCAAAAGAAUGAAGAGAAGAAAAUGGCUACACAUUGAAAAUUAAGCCCAAGUCUUGAAUUGUCUGAUUGCUUGCCUAUUCUCGGACUUAUAUUGUUUUCCAACCUAGCCUCAUGCACUUUAUCCCUACCCUACGUUACAACCAAAAAUUAAGUCCUAAUUGAUCAUAGUUGUGGCAUGGCUUUUCUUGUGUGUUGGAUGGAAGGAUGAUGUGAUGUGGUACUCUUUUAUUUUGGUUUGCUUACAUUACUUCCCCCACGCACACAUGUGAGAGAAUGUAUUUGCACAAGUUUCUGAGUGUUUCAUUUGUGAGUGCAAAACUUGGUGAGAUUUGGGUUGAAGCUUGGUUCAGAUAGAAAUUUGAGUGAUCAAUUGUUCUAAUGUUGGGAUUGUGUCCAUGUUAGCUAAUUCACACAUGCCAGGUAGUGGUGCUAUUGGAUGUCUUUAUGAGUUGAUAGUGUCUUGAACUUUGCAUACUCCUUAUAUCAUUGUGGUGGAUGUCCUAACUUGUGUGAGAUGCUUGCUCAAAUUUAUGUGGUUAGCCGUGUAUUCCAGUUUGUUUUGCGUUUUAGAGAAAUAACGAAUCCUCAUGCCCGUGUUGUGUUGUAUCCGUGUCGUGUGUCCGUAUUGGUACUUCUUAGUUUGCAAACAAGUAGUGGAAAGCCUCUAUUGUAGAGCCACUGCUUAAAAAGUAACUGUUAUUAGUUUGUAGUACCAGUGUCCACAAUUUUGGAGACUAGGGCUUUUUUUUUAUCAUUUAAUUUUGGAGAUAUCUACAUUGGGAAAAGUAAUAUUUAUUCUGAGCCUUCUAAAUUUGUCACACUACAGGCAGCUUUUAGAGUUUACAUCCGAGAUAGUUUUCCAAAAGUGUAGUCUCUUAAGUUAAAUCAUUGUAGUUAUAGGGAUGAGUUGAGGUCCAUCCAUGCUAAAGAGUCGCCUUGUCUUGAUCUUUUUAUGAACUAAACAGCUUUCUUUUUUUCUUUUUUGCUGUUUAACCGCUUUCCUUUUCACUCAUUUUUGUCAUUUGUAGCUCUAAUGCAAAUGAUUUCGAGCAGAUAUAGUCUUCAGUUAUGCAUAAAGUCAUCUGUAUCUCUUUUUCUUUGGAAAAGAAGUGUAAAUCACUUCAUGGGAAGUAUGAAGCCAUUGAUGAUAAAUAAAUAACAGAAAUCUAAGCCAAUGUGAAUCGUACAUGAAUCUGCACUAUACAUAGGGGAUUUAAGCCAACGUGUAGUGUACCUCCGUUGUACAUUCCAACAAACCUUGCGAGGCAUAAAUCGCAUCCUUGAUGAUAUCAUCUACACCUACUCCCUUCUCAUCCUCAACAUCAGUACAACUGCAGAUGAUUGUUCCCGUAUUUUGACAAGUAUGGAAAGGUGGUGGACAUCUUCAUUCCCAGAGAUCAAGAUUACUUGAUUUUCAGGAUGAAUUUCUUUCGGAAUCUAAAGUCCAUGAGUGGCAAGAUGUUAUGGGGUUUAGAAUCAAAAUUGAAAAUGCAUUUGCCAGGUGAAGUCUUUAAAUGUUUCUUCAUAUUGUAUGUCCUUAUUCAUUUUCAUUUCAAUCCCUUGGAGCCUAGUAACUCAAAAGUCUGAAUGAGCUUAAUGGUACUUUUGUUGCUUGAUAACUGGAGAACUUAGCGUGUAAAUAUAUACUCUUUCCUAGUUAUAUAUCAAGGGAAACCAUCUUGCAUGGGAAAUUCGUUAGUUUUGAUUA